rnacentral:rRNA from 1 species
CUACGGGAGGCUGCAGUGGGGAAUAUUGGACAAUGGGGGCAACCCUGAUCCAGCCAUGCCGCGUGUGUGAAGAAGGCCUUUUGGUUGUAAAGCACUUUAAGCGAGGAGGAGGCUACUGGUACUAAUAUUACCAGCUAGUGGACGUUACUCGCAGAAUAAGCACCGGCUAACUCUGUGCCAGCAGCCGCGGUAAUACAGAGGGUGCGAGCGUUAAUCGGAAUUACUGGGCGUAAAGCGCGCGUAGGCGGUUUGUUAAGUCGGAUGUGAAAUCCCCGGGCUCAACCUGAGAAUUGCAUUCGAUACUGGCAAGCUAGAGUAUGGGAGAGGAAGGUAGAAUUCCAGGUGUAGCGGUGAAAUGCGUAGAGAUCUGGAGGAAUACCGAUGGCGAAGGCAGCCUUCUGGCCUAAUACUGACGCUGAGGUGCGAAAGCAUGGGGAGCAAACAGGAUUAGAUACCCCCGUAGUC